rnacentral:lncRNA from 1 species
GGUCCCUAAAUGAGCUGAUUCUCAUCAAAGCCGAGAAGCAUAGUCAGGUGUGGUGGCUCACGCCUGUAAUCCCAGCACAUUCAGAGGCCAAGGUGGACGAGCCACUUGAGGCCAGGAGUUCGAGGCCAGCCUGGCCAACAUGGAGAAACCUUGUCUCUAAAAAAUAAAAGAAUAAAGAAGCAGCAGAACUUUGUAGAGUCCCUCCAGGAAGCAGUGCCACGAGGCCUUGGGGCUGCUUACUACAACUGAAGGAAGUGUAAGCGACCGCCUCUCUGAGACAGCCAGAGAGGAAGUCUCAUUAGGUUGCCCAGACUGAUCUUGAAUCCCUGGACUCCAGCAAUCCACCUGCCUCGGCCUCCCAAAGUGCUUGGAUUAUGCGUGUGAGCCGUUGCACCUGCCACAUACCUGAAUUCUUUAUUGAGUGGAAAAUAUGGCUGACCACAACGCCCAGAUUUUAUAGACAGUAGUUCCACUGCCUUUGGGAAUCCAGUUCUUGUUCCCAAUUUCAGGUAUUAAUAUCCUAGGGAAUUCUCUGAUGUGCUUUUGGGUUUACCGGCCUCCCAUGGACCAUUCAUGUGUAGGAGGCAUGAAGGCCAGGGCACGUGAAAGCAUGCCUGCCGCCCUGGACACUGUUCAGCAGGUCCCAGAAGGAGCCUAUGUUUACAGAGUAAGAGGAGAGGCUGACCAGCAAACAGAAGGGUCUGAUUCAUCCCCAAAUCACGAGACGAGCAAGGCUCAACCAUUGAUUUGUUUGUUUUGUACCUUGUUGGACAGCUCUAUAAAAUUGCAUACAUGUAUUGGAGCCUAGAACCUGAGAGGUUUAAGUAUGUUGUGUGUGUCUGUGUGGGUCUUCUUUGAAAAGUCA